rnacentral:rRNA from 1 species
GACGAAGGAUGCAAGCGUUAUCCGGAUUCAUUGGGUUUAAAGGGAGCGUAGGUGGUCUGCUAAGUCAGUGGUGAAAUCUCUCGGCUCAACCGAGAAAAUUGCCAUUGAAACUGGCGGACUUGAGUACAGUUGCCGUUGGCGGAAUAUGACAUGUAGUGGUGAAAUACAUAGAGAUGUCAUAGAACACCGAUUGCGAAGGCAGCUAACGAAGCUGUUACUGACACUGAGGCUCGAAAGUGCGGGGAUCAAACAGG